rnacentral:rRNA from 1 species
UUAAGCGAACAAGCGUACACGGUGGAUGCCCUGGCAGUCAGAGGCGAUGAAGGACGUGCUAAUCUGCGAAAAGCGCCGGUAAGGUGAUAUGAACCGUUAUAACCGGCGAUGUCCGAAUGGGGAAACCCGGUGCACUUCGGUGCAUCAUCGUUAGCUGAAUACAUAGGCUAACGAAGCGAACCGGGGGAACUGAAACAUCUAAGUACCCCGAGGAAAAGAAAUCAACCGAGAUUCCCCCAGUAGCGGCGAGCGAACGGGGAACAGCCCAGAGCCUGAAUCAGCUUGUGUGUCAGUGGAACGGUCUGGAAAGGCCGGCGAUACAGGGUGACAGCCCCGUACACGAAGGCACACAGGCUGUGAGCUCGAUGAGUAGGGCGGGACACGUGAUAUCCUGUCUGAAGAUGGGGGGACCAUCCUCCAAGGCUAAAUACUCCUGACUGACCGAUAGUGAACCAGUACCGUGAGGGAAAGGCGAAAAGAACCCCGGCGAGGGGAGUGAAACAGAACCUGAAACCGUGUACGUACAAGCAGUGGGAGCCUUCGUAAGAGGGUGACUGCGUACCUUUUGUAUAAUGGGUCAGCGACUUAUAUUCUGUAGCAAGGUUAACCGUAUAGGGGAGCCGAAGGGAAACCGAGUCUUAAUUGGGCGUUAAGUUGCAGGGUAUAGACCCGAAACCCGGUGAUCUAGCCAUGGGCAGGUUGAAGGUUGGGUAACACUAACUGGAGGACCGAACCGACUAAUGUUGAAAAAUUAGCGGAUGACCUGUGGCUGGGGGUGAAAGGCCAAUCAAACCGGGAGAUAGCUGGUUCUCCCCGAAAGCUAUUUAGGUAGCGCCUCGUGAACUCAUCUCCGGGGGUAGAGCACUGUUUCGGCUAGGGGGCCAUCCCGGCUUACCAACCCGAUGCAAACUGCGAAUACCGGAGAAUGUUAUCACGGGAGACACACGGCGGGUGCUAACGUCCGUCGUGAAGAGGGAAACAACCCAGACCGCCAGCUAAGGUCCCAAAGUCAUGGUUAAGUGGGAAACGAUGUGGGAAGGCCCAGACAGCCAGGAUGUUGGCUUAGAAGCAGCCAUCAUUUAAAGAAAGCGUAAUAGCUCACUGGUCGAGUCGGCCUGCGCGGAAGAUGUAACGGGGCUAAACCAUGCACCGAAGCUGCGGCAGCGACACUAUGUGUUGUUGGGUAGGGGAGCGUUCUGUAAGCCUGCGAAGGUGUGCUGUGAGGCAUGCUGGAGGUAUCAGAAGUGCGAAUGCUGACAUAAGUAACGAUAAAGCGGGUGAAAAGCCCGCUCGCCGGAAGACCAAGGGUUCCUGUCCAACGUUAAUCGGGGCAGGGUGAGUCGACCCCUAAGGCGAGGCCGAAAGGCGUAGUCGAUGGGAAACAGGUUAAUAUUCCUGUACUUGGUGUUACUGCGAAGGGGGGACGGAGAAGGCUAUGUCAGCCGGGCGACGGUCGUCCCGGUUUAAGCGUGUAGGCUGACUUUCCAGGCAAAUCCGGAAAGUUAAGGCUGAGGCGUGAUGACGAGGCACCACGGUGCUGAAGUGACAAAUGCCCUGCUUCCAGGAAAAGCCUCUAAGCAUCAGGUAACAUCAAAUCGUACCCCAAACCGACACAGGUGGUCAGGUAGAGAAUACCAAGGCGCUUGAGAGAACUCGGGUGAAGGAACUAGGCAAAAUGGUGCCGUAACUUCGGGAGAAGGCACGCUGACAUGUAGGUGAAGCCCCUGCGGGUGGAGCUGAAGUCAGUCGAAGAUACCAGCUGGCUGCAACUGUUUAUUAAAAACACAGCACUGUGCAAACACGAAAGUGGACGUAUACGGUGUGACGCCUGCCCGGUGCCGGAAGGUUAAUUGAUGGGGUUAUCGCAAGAGAAGCUCCUGAUCGAAGCCCCGGUAAACGGCGGCCGUAACUAUAACGGUCCUAAGGUAGCGAAAUUCCUUGUCGGGUAAGUUCCGACCUGCACGAAUGGCGUAAUGAUGGCCAGGCUGUCUCCACCCGAGACUCAGUGAAAUUGAACUCGCUGUGAAGAUGCAGUGUACCCGCGGCAAGACGGAAAGACCCCGUGAACCUUUACUACAGCUUGACACUGAACAUUGAGCCUUGAUGUGUAGGAUAGGUGGGAGGCUUUGAAGCGUGGACGCCAGUCUGCGUGGAGCCAACCUUGAAAUACCACCCUUUAAUGUUUGAUGUUCUAACCUGGCGCCGUGAUCCGGCGUGGGGACAGUGUCUGGUGGGUAGUUUGACUGGGGCGGUCUCCUCCCAAAGUGUAACGGAGGAGCACGAAGGUCAGCUAAUCCUGGUCGGACAUCAGGAGGUUAGUGCAAUGGCAUAAGCUGGCUUGACUGCGAGAGUGACGGCUCGAGCAGGUGCGAAAGCAGGUCAUAGUGAUCCGGUGGUUCUGUAUGGAAGGGCCAUCGCUCAACGGAUAAAAGGUACUCCGGGGAUAACAGGCUGAUACCGCCCAAGAGUUCAUAUCGACGGCGGUGUUUGGCACCUCGAUGUCGGCUCAUCACAUCCUGGGGCUGAAGUAGGUCCCAAGGGUAUGGCUGUUCGCCAUUUAAAGUGGUACGCGAGCUGGGUUUAGAACGUCGUGAGACAGUUCGGUCCCUAUCUGCCGUGGGCGCUGGAGAAUUGAGGGGGGCUGCUCCCAGUACGAGAGGACCGGAGUGGACGCAUCACUGGUGUUCGGGUUGUCAUGCCAAUGGCACUGCCCGGUAGCUAAAUGCGGAAGAGAUAAGUGCUGAAAGCAUCUAAGCACGAAACUUGCCCCGAGAUGAGUUCUCCCUGAGACUGUAAGUCUCCUGAAGGAACGUUGAAGACGACGACGUUGAUAGGCCGGGUGUGUAAGCGCAGCGAUGCGUUGAGCUAACCGGUACUAAUGAACCGUGAGGCUUAACCUU